GACGAACGCUGGCGGCGUGCUUAACACAUGCAAGUCGAACGGAAAGGCCCUGCUUUUGUGGGGUGCUCGAGUGGCGAACGGGUGAGUAACACGUGAGUAACCUGCUCUUGACUUUGGGAUAACUUCAGGAAACUGGGGCUAAUACCGGAUAGGAGCUCCUGCUGCAUGGUGGGGGUUGGAAAGUUUCGGCGGUUGGGGAUGGACUCGCCGCUUAUCAGCUUGUUGGUGGGGUAGUGGCUUACCAAGGCUUUGACGGGUAGCCGGCCUGAGAGGGUGACCGGCCACACUGGGACUGAGACACGGCCCAGACUCCUACCGGAGGCAGCAGUGGGGAAGAUUGCACAAUGGGCGCAAGCCUUAGGCAGCGACGCCGCGUGAGGGAUGACGGCCUUCGGGUUGGAAACCUCUUUCAGUAGGGAAGAAGCGAAAGUGACGGUACCUGCAGAAGAAGCACCGGCUAACUACGUG
rnacentral:rRNA from 1 species